ensembl:lncRNA
CACGGUCAUCUGCGACCCUCUUGGAGCCCCCUGGGAGCAUGGAAGCUGGCCCUGAACAGGACAGUGGGACGACCUGUCUGAGCUCCAGCCACCUUCCUGCUUUGGCACUUUGGGGUUCUGAGUUGGGAGCAAACCCAGCAAAACCUGGCCAUUUCCCUCCACUGGAUGUUUCCCUGGACUGCUUCACCUGUCCAGAUGGUCCACAGAUUCAGGAUCUACUGCAAGCCCCACCUCCUCCAUGAAGCCUUCCUUGAGGUCACUGACCUCGGAGAAGUUUAUCUAGACCUCAUGGAGAGAGCUGUACAUCUCCCACAGAUCCUGGACUUUGAGCUGGAAUUGAAACCGGCAACCAGCCAUUGAUGAUUUAAGUAUCUAGGAAUUAGAACUCCUUGUCCACUUCAGGCCACUUGAGACCACCAACUCAUCAGCUGGGCCGUGCAGAUGUCUGAUAGGCAACCUUUUGACGUCAAGAGGCUAAAAACUCCACCCUCAGGUCAUGCUAACACCUCCGUUUUGUGAAUAUGCAUCUUAUGAAGAGGUGGGACGUCUGACUACGCUUGCGCAAAUCAUCAAUUACCUCACCUCUCCUCCCCUCCAAUCACCUCUCUCCACAUGUCAGACCACCUUGCCCCCUACCCCAUAAAUAUCCCUGAGUCCUUAUUUUCAGGGAAGAGAAUUUGAGACUCAUGCUCUCGCUUCCUCACGUGACUGCCUUGGCCUGGAUGAUGCCAGCUCCCCAGCUGCAAGGGAGACUGGGAAAGACUGCUUCUGGCUUUGGAGUACAGGGUGCAGGAUUCGUGACACGGAAAGUUCCUCAAACACAGAAGAAUGCUCAAAAGGUGUUGGGCACCCCUGAAACAUGAUGAAGGUCCUCAACAAUGGCCGAUACUUUUCAUGAACUUUCUGUGUGCUUGGCACACAGCUCUGGGUCCAUUCACCUUCUAAUUGCAAACAGUGCUCUGACGUCACCCUUCCUCACUCUUCAUCACUGUGGUUUGGAUGGGAUCAUCUCCAGGGUCGGGCAUAGGAUUCAGGUCCAAACAAUGAUAUGUGACCCACUCAGAGCCAACUUGAUGCAACCUUGGCUUUUUCUGGGACAGCUGAAAGAAAUGAGGACUUGGGCUGUGAGGAUGGAGCCUAGAGUUGCUGGCAGCCAUCUUGCCGCUGCAAGGAACAGAGAAGAAAGAUGAGAAGAAGACUAAGUCUUGAUGAUGUUUUUUGAGUCUCUUGGUACCCGAUCAGUUGUAUCAUUGGAAGUCUUCCAUUGUGUGAGCAUAUAAAUUUCCUAUUUGCUUACAUCAAGCCAAUUUGAGUAGUUUCCCAUCAUUUGUAACCCGUCAGGUCCAUAUUAAUAUGCUUAUUUAAUGCUCACAAGAACUCUUUGGAGUAGGUAUUAUUUAUUAACCCCAUUUUACAGAUGAGGAAACUGAAGCACAGAGAGGCCACAUGCAAGCUGAAUUCAAACCCCGGAAAUCCAAUGCCGAGAGCCCACUCAUAAACAUUCUGCUCUCCUUGGUGACAAGGAAGGAUUCACGGGGAGGGUGUGACAUUUAACCUGAGGUUUAACUCCAAGGGGACAUAUGGGUUUGUAAGGAGGUGAGAGAAAGGCUUCUGGGUGAAGGGAAUAGCUUGGGCAAUGACAAGGCCUUUUCUCCUAAGAAACCUCCCCUCUAAUUCACUGCGUCCCUGCCUUGCAGUCUGUACCCAAGCAGGUCCCUCCUUCAAGGGAGCAUCAAACCCCAUUUCUGCAGGGAUUCCUGGCCUUUGGAUCCAUGUGGACCUCUGCUCUGAAGCGGGGCCUGGUGGGUCCCCUCUGGGGUGCAGGUUAGGUGAGGCACCCUCCUCAGCCUGAAAGCCAGUUCAGAGCAGGGGCCUGGCUUCCCCCAAAGGCUUGCACCCCUUGGACUGGGGCUCUGUCAGCUUCAGGAGGCCCUGGAGAUGCUCACAGAGUUAAAAAGAGUGAACUUGUCACAGACCAAGCACUCCCCGCUUCCUGCCCCACCCCCCCAACUUAAACUAGAACAAAUGAAAACCCAUACAGGACACCUGGGCAUUACUUGCAGAAUCUCAAAUA